rnacentral:antisense_RNA from 1 species
CUUCACCGAACCCAGCCACAGCGGGUGCUCGCGCUCUUGACCGUAGGUGGCCAACAGCGCCUGCGCCUC